UACGAGGGGGGCGAGCGUUGUUCGGAAUUAUUGGGCGUAAAGGGUGCGUAGGCGGUUUGGUAAGUCUUAUGUGAAAUCUACAGGCUCAACUUGUAGUCUGCAUGAGAAACUGCCGGGCUUGAGUAUGGGAGAGGUGAGUGGAAUUCCUGGUGUAGCGGUGAAAUGCGUAGAUAUCAGGAGGAACACCGGUGGCGAAGGCGGAUCUCUGGGCCAUAACUGACGCUGAGGAGCGAAAGCAUGGGGAGCGAACAGG
rnacentral:rRNA from 1 species